rnacentral:rRNA from 1 species
GACGAACGCUGGCGGCGUGCUUAACACAUGCAAGUCGAACGGAAAGGCCCUGCUUUUGUGGGGUGCUCGAGUGGCGAACGGGUGAGUAACACGUGAGUAACCUGCCCUUGACUUUGGGAUAACUUCAGGAAACUGGGGCUAAUAUCGGAUAGGAGCUCCUGCAGCAUGGUGGGGGUUGGAUAGUUUCGGCGGUUGGGGAUGGACGCGCGGCUUAUCAGCUUGUUGGUGGGGGAGUGGCUUACCAAGGCUUUGACGGGUAGCCGGCCUGUGAGGGUGACCGGCCACAAUGGGACUGAGGUACGGCGCAGACUCGUACGGGAGGCAGCAGUGGGAAGUAUUGCACAGUGAGAGGAAGCCGGAUGCAGCAGCGCCGCGUGCGGGAUGACGGCCUUCGGGUUGUGAACCGCUUUCGCCUGUGACGAAGCGUGAGUGACGGUAAUGGAUGAAGAAGCACCGGCUAACUACGUG